rnacentral:lncRNA from 1 species
UUUUUAUUUUAUUUUAUUUUAUUUUAUUUCAUUUUAUUUUAUUUUAUUUUUAUUUAUUUUAUUUUACUUUAUUUAACUUUAUUUUAUUUUUAUUUUAUUUUAUUUCAUUUCAUUUCAUUUCAUUUCAUUUCAUUUCAUUUUUAAUUUAUUAUUUCAUUUAAUUUCAUUUUGUUUCAUUUCGUUUCAUUUCAUUUUUUUUUUAUUUUAUUUUAUUUUAUUUUAUUUUAUUUUAUUUUAUUUUAUUUUAUUUCAUUUUAUUUUAUUUUAUUUUAUUUUAUUUUAUUUUAUUUUAUUUUAUUUCAUUUCAUUUAAUUUUAUUUCAUUUCUUUUCAUUUCAUUUCAUUUCAUUUCAUUUCAUUUCAUUUCAUUUCAUAUCAUUUUUAUUUUAUUUUACUUUAUUUUAAUUUAAUUAAAUUUUAUUUUAUUUUAAUUUCAUAUAUUUUAUUUUAUUUUUAUUUUUUCCAUGGAAACCCCAAAUCCUUUUUCAAACCCUUCCCAAAAUCUGGAAAACCGGGAUUAAUCUGGGAAUUAAGGUGGGAAUUUUGAGGGGGGGGGAGGUCCCUUCCCAAAAUCCCUCAAUUCCCAAAAAAAAUUCCCAAAAAAAAUUAAAAAUCCCCCAUUCCAAAACACGGAAAAACUCCAAAUUUAAGGAAUAUUUUAUUCCCCCCCACCCCCAGGAUCCCAAAAAUCCCGGAGCUGUCGGAAUUUGGAGAUUUGGGAUUUUCCCCGCCCGAAAAAAUUCCCAAAAUCUUCGGGAUCAGCUCGGAAUUCCGGGAGGAGAUGCAGGAAAGCUACGAGAGCGUCAUUUCCUUGGCCGAGGAAAUCGCCAUCAGCUGGCCGCGGAUCACCGCCUUCGCCGAAUCGCACCGGAGACGCGGCCUGGGCGCCGGUGAGUCACCGGGGAUCGGCCGGAAUCGGGGUUGGAAUCUUCCAGUCGGGACAAAAUUUGGGAUUUGGACCCGAAAAACCUCCUCAGGAUCCCAAAAAUUCUCAUCAGGAUCCCCAAAAACCCCAAAACCCCACCCUGGACCCCAAAAAACUCCUUGGGAUCCCAAAAUUCUCCUCAGGAUCCCCAAAAUUCUCCUCAGGAUAACAAAAAUGGCCCCAAAAAGCCCAAAACCUCCCUUGGAGACCCCAAAAUUCUCCUCAGAACCCCAAAAACCUCCCCUGGACCCCCCAAAAUGCCUCAAAAACCACCCCAAAAUGCCCUAAAAACCAUCCCAAAACCCCAAAAACCUCCCCUGGACCCCAAAAUUCUCCUCAGGAUCCCAAAAAUCACCCUAAAACCCCCAAAACCUCCCCUGGAC